GUGUUGAGAGAAGGGUUGGAGAAGACUAGCGCUGCCCUAGACGAGGAUGGAGAGGCCCAUGGGCCUGACAACACACACACAUGGCCUGCACCUCUCCUUCAGUCCCCAUCUCCAU
rnacentral:ncRNA from 1 species